UGGUGACCCUAGCGUCGGUGUCCCACCCGAUCCCAUCCCGAACUCGGCCGUGAAACCCGACUGCGCCAAUGGUACUAUCGCUCAAGCGAUGGAAGAGUAGGGCGUCGCCA
rnacentral:rRNA from 1 species